UGAUCUACCCGCCUCGGCCUCCCAAAGUGCUGGGAUUACAGGCAUGAGCCACCAUGGCUGGACUGAACUUCUUAAAAUGCGAAAUAUAAUAGGCUGGGUGCCGUGGCUCACGCCUGUAAUCCUAGCACUUUGGGAGACUGAGGUGAGUGGAUUGCUUGAGCCCAGGAGUUUGAGACCAGCCUGGGCAACAUGGCAAGACACUGUCUCUACAAAAAAGACAAAGAAAAAUACAAUAGUUGCCGUGAAAACUCAUAAUUGCUAAGACAAUUAUAACUUCUGCCAUUAUUUUAUCAUUUUCAAUAUGACAAAUGUAAAAAUAAUAUUUUCAUUGGGCCUGAAAACAGCCAUUUUCAUAUAAAAAAUCUAAAAGCCACAAUCAAAUGUGAGUCAAAACCAUUAAUGUACAAUAGUGUUUGCAUAGUAAAAAUAUGUUGUCUGCAUUUGGUGUUGGUAUUUAUAAAGAAUAGGAGCAUCUCACAGCCUUUUCUAUAUGCAAAACAUGUUAAGCCAAGCAUAACUUCUAUUCAGAAGAGUUCAGAGUUUAAGGGAGAAUAAAAAUUGGUUUACUGUGACUUCAUUUUUAAGCAUAGUGCAUACAAAAAUUAAAGAAAAGUUUUUUUAUAUGCAACACUUCGGAUAUGGAAAAAGCUAGUGAUUUUUAGACCCUUGCCAGGAUCAGUGAGGGCUUAUUCCCAACAAACUGUUAAGGAGCUACAGUUAAGAAUCUAACCUAAGGCCGGGCGCGGUGGCUCAUGCCUGUAAUCUCAGCACUUUGGGAGACCGAGGCAGGUGCAUCACCUGAGGUCAGGAGUUCGAGACCAGCCCGACCAACAUAAAGAAAUCCCGUCUCUACUAAAAAUACAUAAAAAAAAAAUUAGCCAGGCAUGGUGGCACAUGCCUGUAAUCCCAGCUACUCGGGAGGUUGAGGCAGGAGAAUUGCUUGAACCCGGGCAGUGGAGGUUGCGGUGAGCUGAGAUCAUGCCAUUGCACUCCAGCCUGGGCAACAAGAGCGAAACUCUGUCUCAAAAAAAAAAAAAGUAUCUAACCUAAGAAAUGUAGGUAAAGAGAAGGGAAAAGUCCAGCAAGAAGUGGAAUUAGAACCAAGAAACAAACUCAUAUGAAAAUUAGAAAUAUUUUAAAAUGUGAGGACAAUGGUUUACAAGUAUAUACAAAUCUUCCCGACAGAGGCUGAGAAGGUGAUAACAUGAAAAUGCAUUUAAAUGCACCCAACAGUUGAGUGCCUGUUACCUGCAAGACACUGAACCAAAUGAAGCACUAUCCCUUUCAUUCAAAAUCACAAAAUAUUAUACAAGAGAUGGAUGCAGAUCUCAUAAAUAAUUGUAUCAUAAAUCUGACUGAUAGCUUCAAUAAUGAAGGCAUUACAACAGCUAAAGUAACAUAGAGAAUUGAAAUAACUGGAUCUUGGGGUGACAAAAAUGGUGGAAGACUUUACAUAAAAGGUGACAUUUGAACUGUGUCCUAGAAGAGAAAAAGAAUUUUACUAUAUACAAAAGAAUUUUAGUCAGGCAUGGUGGUGCAUGCCUGUAGUCCCACUGCUUGGGAGGCUGAAGCAGGAGGAUCACUUGAGCCCAGGAGAUGGAGGCUGUUGUGAGCUAUGAUCACACCACUGCACUCCACCCUGGGUGACAGAGCAAGACCCUAUCUCAAAAUUAAUAAAUUUCCUUUAAUUUUAAGAAGAGAAUUUUGUAGUUAUUAUCCAUUUAAUUUCUCCACCAUUAAUUGCACCACCAUCUAUUCCCCACCUCUCACUGCCCUGCUUCCUAACUAGUAUCCUGCCUUAACUGACUAUCCUUGGUGGUUCAUUGGCUUCUGGUUGAGUUUGGCCAGUGAAAGACACUGGCUGGAGAUCAGAGGGCAGGAGGACAGAGAAGUUGGGAUAUUUCUUCACUGUGCCCAUUCUGCUUCCACACUGUGAUUCUUGCAGUGGCUGCCACCCUCUCUGCCUGCAUUUCCUACUGAUGGCCCCUUUCCCAUGGCUCCAACUUGCACUGAGCUAUGAUGGCAGUGUUUCAUCCCAUGGGACCUUUGGGCCUAGGGAAGAUAAGAGGUUCCCACUUUGCUAGUCUUUGGUUAUCUCAACCACUCUUGUGAUUUCCCUUUACCCUGACUGUAUCUCUGUAAAUUAUCCCUUCAUUUGAACCAUCUGAGUUGAAACCAGUCCUAAUCAAAGAGAAUAGUAUACGCAAAGACAAGAAGGAACUCAUGAUUGGGGAAACACAACUGCAAUUUAGGUAACAUCAUGGAGAUGGGAAUCUAGGAAUGGUUUUAGAGAAUUGGGGCCAGAUAAUGAGGGCCUUACUAUGGAAUCUGUAUUUUAUUCUUGGGUAAAAGAAAUCCAAUGGGGCCAGGCACAGUGGCUCACGCCUGUAAUCCCAGCACUUUGGGAGGCCAAGGCAGGCGGAUCACAAGGUCAGGAGUUCACCAGCCUGGCCAACAUGGUGAAACCCCGUCUCUACUAAAAAUAUAAAAAUUAGCUGAGUGUGGUGGCACAUGCCUGUAGUUCCAGCCACGUGAGAGGCUGAGGCAGGAGAAUCGCUUGAACCUCGGAGGCGGCGAUUGCGGUGAGCCAAGAUCAUGCCACUGCACUCCAGCCUGGGCAACAGAGCAAGACUUUGUUUCAAAAAAAAAAAAAAAAAAAAAAAAAAAGAAAAGAAAAAGAAAAAAGAAUCCAAUGGUGGUUAUUGAGUACGUAUCAACAGAACUGUGUUCCAGAAAGAUCUCUCUACUAGCAUGUGAAAGAUGGAAUGAAUAGGAAAGAGCCUGAAGGCAGGGAGGCCAGGUAAGAAGUGAUUGCAAUAAGAUUCUAAAAUGGGGCGUUGGUUGGUGGUAGGGAGAAUGGAUUUCAAAAGGGUCUGCAGUAAAAUCUAUAGGAUAUGGCAACUAAGUAAGAGAAAGGGCAAAGCAGAAGGGAUUUUUAAAGAUGACUUCCAGGUCUCCAGCUUGGCAGCAUGAGAAAAUGGUGACCCUAUAACACAGAAGAAGUUCUUAGAAUUGGGGCAAAAAAAAAAGAUUUGGGGCAUAAUGAA
rnacentral:lncRNA from 1 species